rnacentral:rRNA from 1 species
GACGAACGCUGGCGGCGUGCUUAACACAUGCAAGUCGAACGGAAAGGCCCUGCUUUUGUGGGGUGCUCGAGUGGCGAACGGGUGAGUAACACGUGAGUAACCUGCCCUUGACUUUGGGAUAACUUCAGGAAACUGGGGCUAAUAUCGGAUAGGAGCUCCUGCUGCAUGGUGGGGGUUGGAAAGUUUCGGCGGUUGGGGAUGGACUCGCGGCUUAUCAGCCUGUUGGUGGGGUAGUGGCUUACCAAGGCUUUGACGGGUAGCCGGCCUGGGAGGGUGACCGGCCACAUUGGGACUGAGAUACGGCCCAGACUCCUACGGGAGGCAGCAGUGGGGAAUAUUGCACAAUGGGCGGAAGCCUGAUGCAGCAACGCCGCGUGCGGGAUGACGGCCUUCGGGUUGUAAACCGCUUUCGCCUGUGACGAAGCGUGAGUGACGGUAAUGGGUAAAAAAGCACCGGCUAACUACGUG